rnacentral:rRNA from 1 species
AUUGAACGCUGGCGGCAUGCCUUACACAUGCAAGUCGAACGGCAGCACGGGGGCAACCCUGGUGGCGAGUGGCGAACGGGUGAGUAAUACAUCGGAACGUGUCCUGUCGUGGGGGAUAACCAGUCGAAAGACUGGCUAAUACCGCAUGAGAUCGAGAGAUGAAAGCAGGGGACCGCAAGGCCUUGCGCGAUUGGAGCGGCCGAUGUCGGAUUAGCUAGUUGGCGGGGUAAAGGCCCACCAAGGCUACGAUCCGUAGCUGGUUUGAGAGAACGACCAGCCACACUGGGACUGAGACACGGCCCAGACUCCUACGGGAGGCAGCAGUGGGGAAUUUUGGACAAUGGGGGCAACCCUGAUCCAGCCAUGCCGCGUGUGUGAAGAAGGCCU